AGCGCGUGACGCGGCUCAGUCUCAACUUGUCCCAGGACUGCUGGGCCUUGCUUCUGUGCGCUCCGGACAUCGCUGAGGAGGGGGUCCUGUUCUGAGGAAUCAAGGAUACACAAACACUGAUAUAUUCCCUGUAAUGGAGGAGCUUACAUCCAAUGAAGUAGUAGAGUUUUUUGUAGAGCUCUUUGAAAUUCCCAUGGCUUACCUACUGAAUCUUCUUUGGAAUCUUCAAAUUCCCCAAAUCUUUAGAGACUUGGUGGUCACUCACUGGCCAGAGGCAUUGUAAAAGGAUUCUGGAGAUUUCAACUUUUCAGCAAAAGCCCUCCCGAAUCUUUAGUCUGAUUCUGGGAUCCCCAAGGAGACUGGGAACCUUUCUCUGGAUCUUUCCUGUGAAAGGACCAUAUGCUCCGUCCUCUGAUGCAACACAAAUAGCUACUGUGAAGCUCAGUGGUGAGUUUCAAUGAGUUUAUUCCACUAUCUGUGGCCCAGGUAGGCUUGGACUUACAGGUAUGUUUGUGUUAUGUUUCAUAUUCAAAUGCACAGUUCCAGCAGUAUACUUUAUAAAUUGUACUCUUUGUCUUCCUUGUAAUCUGUCAAGCACCAAGUAUAGUGUCAUCUCUGUGUGGAUGCUCUACAAAUGCUAAUUGGUAGUGAUCAGGAUAAUGAUGUUGACAAAUGACUCCAUGAAACUGAUGAAUCAUUUGGUGGAAGAGGCCUGGCACAGCAGUUAUGUGAUGUUGCUUCACCGAACAGGUAAUGUUUCAUACCUCAGAGCAACACAAAACAUUUUGCCUGCCAGUGUUAACUAUUUCUAAUCAGAGCCAAAAAGGCAUUUUGGGAGAGAGAAGAACUUUUGAAUGACAUUGACCCUGUAAGCAGACCCUUAAAGAGAUACCGCUGUUUCCUUUGGUGCAGGCUCGACCAAAACCUGGCUCCCGCGUGAGUUGGCAAUCAAACAAAAAGAUGAAGCAAGAAGUUUGAAUCAGCUAAUAAAAAUAAAUAAACUAAUUCAUAUGAGUAUUAGCA